rnacentral:lncRNA from 1 species
UUUCAUAAAAAAAUGAACAAAAAAAAUUAUUCGCAUUCCUACAUACACAUCUAAAAAUCCCCAACAAUUGCAUCCUACAUGCAUCUUCAUACAUCAUUCCAUGCAUGAUAUUUCCACUCAAAGUGGAACACCUCAUGAAAUCAAACAUAACUUAAUUCAAGAUUCAGGAUCAAUCAUGAGUAUCCUGGAAAUUCCUCAUUUAAUUCAAUGGAGUUAUUACCCUGCAUGUGCUAGUGAAAUUAUUUCCCAGCAAGUCAUUCUUUAACUUUA